GCGCUCGCCCACCUCCACCAGGAAGCCCUCCCUGCUCACCGGCCUGCUGUGGCGGGGGCGGCACCGGAUACGCAGCACCAAGGCCAGGAUGACCACAAAGAUGAUGCCCACCACCGUCAGGAGGAUCCACACAUCCCCCCGCCUCAAGCACCCCUCAUCCAGGGUACCUGCUCAGCAGCAGCGCGAUCCUCCGUGAUGUCAAAGAGGACGGCGCUGGCGCCUCGCUCCCCCGCCAUCCGGGCCUGCAGAGACACAGCAGAGGUCUGGCGAGGGUCAGACACAGCCCGUCCACACCCAGCCUCACCCCCUCACACAUCCACCCCUGCCUAAGGCGCACCCCACACCUCCGCACGCUCACACCUCUAACACAUGCAAGGGGUCAGUGGGGUUAGGGUCUCCCUGCCCCGCCCUGAGCUCACCCA